rnacentral:misc_RNA from 1 species
UCCGGCUUGUCACCGGCAGUCUCCUUAGAGUGCCCUUGCGUAGCAACUAAGGAUAAGGGUUGCGCUCGUUGCGGGACUUAACCCAACAUCUCACGACACGAGCUGACGACAGCCAUGCAGCACCUGUGCGCCGGUUCUCUUGCGAGCACUCCCAAAUCUCUUCGGGAUUCCGACCAUGUCAAGGGUAGGUAAGGUUUUUCGCGUUGCAUCGAAUUAAUCCACAUCAUCCACCGCUUGUGCGGGUCCCCGUCAAUUCCUUUGAGUUUUAAUCUUGCGACCGUACUCCCCAGGCGGUCAACUUCAUGCGUGAGCUUCGUUACUAAGGAAAUGAAUCCCCAACAACUAGUUGACAUCGUUUAGGGCGUGGACUAC